rnacentral:rRNA from 1 species
AGCGGUGAAGUUAGCUGAGUGGUUCCACCCGUUCCCAUUCCGAACACGGCAGUUAAGCACUCAUACGCCGAUUGUACUUGGGUGGCGACGCCCCGGGAGAUUAGGUAUUUGCCGCUA